rnacentral:ncRNA from 2 species
AAGUGGGGUAGAGGCGCGAUAUUUAACAGUUCUUAUAGGAGCUUGAGGAAGCUGUGAUUCUAAGAAGAAGGAAAUGUCGCCGAAGUUUGUAAUAGCCUCAAUAUUACAUGCUGGGUCUGCAGUUAAGAGCUGCAGGACUGUCUUAAUAAACAUCCCAGUUUAUUAAGUUGCGCUAUCUCAGUU